rnacentral:rRNA from 1 species
GGGCAGCGGGAUUUUAGCUUGCUUCAUUUGCCGGCGACCGGCGCACGGGUGAGUAACACGUAUCCAACCUUCCGUUUACUCGGGGAUAGCCUUUCGAAAGAAAGAUUAAUACCCGAUGGUAUGGUAAGAUUGCAUGGUAUUUUCAUUAAAGAUUCAUCGGUAAACGAUGGGGAUGCGUUCCAUUAGGUAGUUGGCGGGGUAACGGCCCACCUAGCCUACGAUGGAUAGGGGUUCUGAGAGGAAGGUCCCCCACAUUGGAACUGAGACACGGUCCAAACUCCUACGGGAGGCAGCAGUGAGGAAUAUUGGUCAAUGGGCGAGAGCCUGAACCAGCCAAGUAGCGUGAAGGAUGAAUGUCCUAUGGGUUGUAAACUUCUUUUAUAAGGGAAUAACGGAUUCCACGUGUGGUGUUUUGCAUGUACCUUAUGAAUAAGCAUCGGCUAACUCCGUGCCAGCAGCCGCGGUAAUACGGAGGAUGCGAGCGUUAUCCGGAUUUAUUGGGUUUAAAGGGAGCGUAGACGGGUAUGUUAAGUCAGUUGUGAAAAGUUUGCGGCUCAACCGUAAAAUUGCAGUUGAUACUGGCGGUUCUUGAGUGCGGCAGAGGCAGGCGUAAUUUCGUGGUUAGCG